rnacentral:rRNA from 1 species
UACAGAGGUGGCAAGCGUUGUUCGGAAUUACUGGGCGUAAAGGGCGCGUAGGCGGUCUUGUAAGUCUUGUGUGAAAUCCCUCGGCUUAACUGAGGAACUGCACGGGAUACUGCGAGACUUGAGAUCGGGAGAGGGAAGCGGAAUUCCGGGUGUAGCGGUGAAAUGCGUAGAUAUCCGGAGGAACACCGGUGGCGAAGGCGGCUUCCUGGACCGGCAUUGACGCUGAGGAGCGAAAGCUAGGGGAGCAAACGGG